UACGUAGGGUGCGAGCGUUAAUCGGAAUUACUGGGCGUAAAGCGUGCGCAGGCGGUUUUGUAAGCCAGAUGUGAAAUCCCCGGGCUUAACCUGGGAAUGGCAUUUGGGACUGCAAGGCUGGAGUGCGGCAGAGGAGACUGGAAUUCCUGGUGUAGCAGUGAAAUGCGUAGAUAUCAGGAGGAAUACCGAUGGCGAAGGCAGGUCUCUGGGCCGAUACUGACGCUGAGGAGCGAAAGCGUGGGGAGCGAACAGG
rnacentral:rRNA from 1 species